GACGAACGCUGGCGGCGUGCUUAACACAUGCAAGUCGUACGGUAAGGCCCUUUAGGGGGUACACGAGUGGCGAACGGGUGAGUAACACGUGAGUAACCUGCCCACAACUUUUUGAUAACGCUUGGCAACUGGUGCUAAUACUGGAUAUGUGCUCCUGCUGCAUGGUGGGGGUUGGAAAGCUCCGGCGGUUGUGGAUGGACUCGCGGCCUAUCAGCUUGUUGGUGGGGUAGUGGCCUACCAAGGCGGCGACGGGUAGCCGGCCUGAGAGGGUGACCGGCCACAUUGGGACUGAGAGACGGCCCAGACUCCUACGGGAGGCAGCAGUGGGGAAUAUUGCACAAUGGGCGCAAGCCUGAUGCAGCAACGCCGCGUGCGGGAUGACGGCCUUCGGGUUGUAAAACGCUUUCAGCAGGGACGAAGCUUUUUGUGACGGUACCUGCAGAAGAAGCACCGGCUAACUACGUG
rnacentral:rRNA from 1 species